AUAAAUAUGGCAGAAAAAUGCAUUAGAUUUAGAAUCUAUAUAUAUCA
rnacentral:tRNA from 1 species